CCUACGGAUGACAGCAGUGAGGAAUAUUGGUCAAUGGGCGGAAGCCUGAACCAGCCAAGUAGCGUGCAGGAUGACGGCCCUACGGGUUGUAAACUGCUUUUAUACGGGAAUAACGCGCCUUACGUGUAGGGCUUUGCAUGUACCGUAUGAAUAAGGACCGGCUAAUUCCGUGCCAGCAGCCGCGGUAAUACGGAAGGUCCGGGCGUUAUCCGGAUUUAUUGGGUUUAAAGGGAGCGUAGGCCGCAUGUCAAGCGUGCUGUGAAAUGUCCGGGCUCAACCCGGGCCUUGCAGCGCGAACUGGCGUGCUUGAGUCCGCGGAAGGCAGGCGGAAUUCGUCGUGUAGCGGUGAAAUGCUUAGAUAUGACGAAGAACCCCGAUUGCGAAGGCAGCUUGCUGCAGCGGAACUGACGCUGAUGCUCGAAAGCGCGGGUAUCGAACAGGAUUAGAUACCCUUGUAGUC
rnacentral:rRNA from 1 species